rnacentral:rRNA from 1 species
GACGAACGCUGGCGGCGUGCUUAACACAUGCAAGUCGAGCGGUAAGGCCCUUUCGGGGGUACGACGAGCGGCGAACGGGUGAGUAACACGUGGGUGACCUGCCCUCAGCUCUGGGAUAAGCCCGGGAAACUGGGUCUAAUACCGGAUAUGACUCCAUGACGCAUGUUGUGGGGUGGAAAGCCUUGUGCGGCUGAGGAUGGGCCCGCGGCCUAUCAGCUUGUUGGUGGGGUGAUGGCCACCAAGGCGACGACGGGUAGCCGGCCUGAGAGGGCGACCGGCCACACUGGGACUGAGAUACGGCCCAGACUCCUACGGGAGGCAGCAGUGGGGAAUCUUGCGCAAUGGGCGAAAGCCUGACGCAGCGACGCCGCGUGAGGGAUGACGGCCUCGGUUGUAA